CAGGGGUCACCAGUGCCUGCCUCCCCUGGGAGAGAUUCCGGGAGAGACGGGGGGCUGGGACCAGCCAGAGCCGGCAUGCACCUUCAGGUCACGUUCCUGUGGCUUCGCUGAACAGAAGUUCAAGCUAAAACGUUGCCAGUGGACGGGGAGAGAAGGCCCUGGAGACUGUCACGUGUGAUGCACCCUAAGAAGCUGUGUGCACCAGAAUGCACCCUGUUCUCUAAGCUCGAAACUGCUCGCUUGAUAGACCGGAAGAUGGGUUGAGAGUGGAGCCCGGAGGAGGCAGCUGACCCCCACCAGACAGGCCUGGGCCCCCUCGCCUGCCGCACAGCAAAGCCCCAUGGCCGUGGGGACGCAGUGAAAGAAAGAGGGCGUCUCCUGCAGGGUGCCAGGCAAGGAGAGCGGUGGCCUGUGUCAGGGAGGUCUCACCUGUGCGCCAGGGCGGGCCCUCCACCUGGAGACAGCCACGUGCCGUUCUUGAAGCCAAUGGAGAAAGAGGCAGGGCAGGCGGGGCAGAUGCAAGCACGGGGUUAUUAAAGGGAAGGCGCCCACCCAGCGGGGUGGUCUGGACAAGCC